rnacentral:rRNA from 1 species
UACGUAGGGGGCUAGCGUUGUCCGGAUUUAUUGGGCGUAAAGAGCGUGUAGGCGGCCAGGUAGGUCUGGUGUGAAAACUCGAGGCUUAACCUCGAGAUGUCAUCGGAAACCAUCUGGCUAGAGUCCGGAAGAGGAGAGUGGAAUUCCUGGUGUAGCGGUGAGAUGCGCAGAUAUCAGGAAGAACACCAAUGGCGAAAGCAGCUCUCUGGGACGGUACUGACGCUGAGACGCGAAAGCGUGGGGAGCGAACAGG